rnacentral:lncRNA from 1 species
UUUAGUCUCAGUUUCACAGUAACUGUACCUGGAAUGAUUACGUGGGCAGCAUUGUGAAGCAUUUUAAUGCAAACGAAAGUGAUGAGUGGCAUUGGGUGGAAGUCUCUCUUCCCACACCUCCAUGGCAGCCGUGGUGGCAGCUGCAGCCGUUUGGCUCGGGGCUCCCUCCUCAACAAGUGGUUCAAAAGAAGCCUGCUCAGGAAGAGACUGAAGAAACGUCCUCACAAGAAUCCGCAGAGGAAGACUAGGAGACCGCAUCAUGCAAUUUCUACCUCAUCAGCAGUUGGGUCUUUUGAAGGGAGAAGACACUGCCUUGACCACUUAUUUUCUAUUGCCAUGGUCUUUCCACUUUUGCCUGGGGGAAAAAAAAUCGCAUAACCUUAAAAAGGAUUUGACUAAUCAUCUUCUUUGUAAUCCCUUCACAGUCCCAGGUUUAGUGAAAAACUGCUGUAACACAAUGGGGGCACAGAUUAACGAUGCAACUUUUAAUUACUGUUUUCUUUUUUCUUAACUUACUAAUAGUUUGUUUGAGCUGCUAAGUAAGGGUGACUGGGUCAAGAAGAGCUCCAGAUCAGGUUUAAGUCAUUCACUGCACUGCAUAUAAACAAGAAACUUGUAACAUAUUAAUUAUAAUGGGCAUUGAAAUAGGAAAGGCUUGGUGUGUAACACUAGGCCUUGCAACACUUCCAGCAACCCACUCCCUACUUAGUGUACUCCCUGUUUUAGAACACCAAAGAUAAGGGAUAGAUACUACUUUUUUUUUUUUUUUUUUUGUAACCUUCUUGUAGACUUGUACUUGAUUUUUAUUUUUUUUUUAAGACUUACUGGUAUUUCAGGAAAAAAAUGAAAGCUGAUCUCUCACUUCAUUCAGCUGGUAAUCAGAAGAAAGAAAGCAACACGAAAAAGGUACUUUCAUUUUGCAAAAGGGAAGAAAGACAAAGAUACGUUGUAUAGUUACAGAUACAAACAUAUCAGCAGAAGUAGUAAUAAACAAAACGAACAGCCCUCACCUUCUGGACAAUAGGAAGUCCGACAGAGUCGGCUUUCUGUAGAGCCAGGCGUUUUCUGUGGAAACAGAAAUGACUGGCACCAAACACUUAAGCCAUUAAUGACUAAGUCUUUAUCAAGAAAAGUGUUUUAAAACGUAUAGAAAGGUACCUCGAAAUUAAUACUGAAUUUGUCUGAACAAAAUAAUCCAGAUGUUUUCGUAGUUUCAACUAAUUCCACUCACCCCAUACCAGGUUUCAAACAAAACGAAUCUCUUCUCAUUACUCAUCAGUCAUGAUGUAAGAACCAACACCAUGUACCUCAGCUAAGCUUGUGUAUUACUUUAAGCAAUGUAUUUUGACAUAGGAUGGUUCACUGUGCACCUCUGUGCCGGUGGCGUUUCUCCAUCUUUUCAUUCAAAGCAGCACUUUUAGCAACAGAUGCAAUAUUACCCCACUAUUCAAUACUACCUCUGAUUUUUACAAUUAACUCAACAGACUGAUAAAUACAUGCUGCUAUACACAUUCAAUGCAGGAAAUUUUUACUGGGUAGAUAAUCACGAGUAUCUGCAUUUUGCCCUUAUUUCUACUUCAACACUUAAUUGCAGUUAAGGAAGCAAUAUCUUUAUUGUGUUUCGGCAUGACUAUGUAUUUUUCUUUCUCCUUUUUUUUUUUUUUAAUGUACUUACCCUAUUCUCUGCUAGACUUCUGUGUAAUGUACUGUUAACUUGAAUAUAUUUUUGUACUGAAUUGCUGAUAGGUUUGUAAGGAUAAUUUUCUUCAAUGACACUACAUGACAUAGAAAAAAAAAUUAGCUGUAAUGUUUAAAUAUUACUGUCCAAGUUUGUACCUCAAGUGAAUUGUUUAAAGAAAUGGACUAAUUGAUUGACAAAGACCUACCUCCAGACUUUAAAUGGAAUGAACUUGUUACUUUCAGCAUUAGUUUUGAGACGUUUGAAACAGUUAGGACUGCAAUUAAUCCCUAAUUCAAAACUAUUUUUGUAAAAUAACUUGUGGAAAAUGAACACGUUUUAAAUUACUUUCGUAUUAAAAAAAAAAAAAAUGAACAAAAAAAAACCUUCAAAGAAACUUGAAGCUUUGUAGGUGGGAAGCAACAAGCUCAGCUUUUGCAUAAUGCAAUCACGAAUAUGUGUUUAAAAAAAAAAUUAGUAGAUUGUAAGAAAAUACUUGACAAGUAUUUUCAUGUAUUUUACACAAAUGUGAUUUUGUAAUAUGUUUCAGCCAGAUUUAUUUUAAAUGCUUCUUAUGUAGAGGUUUUUUAUUCUCCUCUCUCUCACUCUUUUUUUCCCCCUUUUUUUUCCUCUUUCUCUCUUCCUAUUUCAUUUCUCUCUUUCUGUUUAAUUUCCCUUCUUCCUCUCCUAGUCAGUACUUUGUAACAUUGUAUUAAUAACUGGGCCAGGGGUAGGUUCUCAGGAAGGCAUCUGUUGGUAUGGCUUUAUUAGCAAGCCAAACGCAGUUAAAGGUAACUACUUGCUGGCUUCUUCCAAGAGGCAGUGUCAAGAACUGCGGACCUCCUCAAAAGACUGCAGAGGGUUCAUUGUCGGAGAUCGCUGAGAAAGAGCUGAUCGGAGUGUUAAAACGA